rnacentral:rRNA from 1 species
ACGUAGUUAGCCGUGGCUUUCUCAUAAGGUACCGUCAAUUGAUAGUCAUUUCCUCCUAUCACCUUUCUUCCCUUAUAACAGAAUUUUACAACCCGAAGGCCUUCUUCAUUCACGCGGCGUUGCUCGGUCAGGCUUUCGCCCAUUGCCGAAGAUUCCCUACUGCUGCCUCCCGUAGGAGUCUGGGCCGUGUCUCAGUCCCAGUGUGGCCGUUCACCCUCUCAGGUCGGCUACGCAUCGUCGCCUUGGUAGGCCUUUACCCCACCAACUAGCUAAUGCGCCGCAGGCUCAUCCAUCAGUGAUGCCAGGAGCAUCUUUAAACUUUCGUCCUAUCCGGUAUUAGCGAUCGUUUCCAAUCGUUGUCCCCGUCUGAUGGGCAGAUCACCUACGUGUUACUCACCCGUUCGCCGCUUCCCACCGAAGUGGUUCGCUCGACUUGCAUGUAUUAGGCACGCCGCCAGCGUUCAUCCUGAGCCAGGAUCAAACUCU